CCUGACUUGUGCCGUUAGUUUGUCCGUAAGGUAAUUAUCCCAGAGUUUCAUAAGUACCAAGGACAUCGGGGGUAGCUCUGUAUGUGUCCAGUUUUGUGCUACUGCCAAACAUGCAGCCAAGUUUAUCAUAUUUGAGCAAUUUUUGGUCAUAUUUGUUUAGUCCGUCUCAGGUUUUGGAUAACAGGCAGACCCAUGGGUUCGGUGUAAGUCGCCUUUGCAAUAUUUGUGAGGUU